UUCAGUUGUACAUAUACAUAGUCUAUUCUUUUUCAGGUUCUUUUCCAUUAUAGGUUGCAAGAUACUGAAUAUUCUUCCCUGUGUUCUACAGUGAAUCCUUGUCGUUUGUCUGUUUUACAUAUAGUAAUUUGUAUCUGUUAAUCCCAAACUCCUGUUUGUUUUAUAAGUCUGUGAGUCUGUUUUUUGUUUUAUAGAUAAGUCCAUUUGUAUCAUUUUUUUAAAAAUUCCACAUAUAAAUGAUAUCAUAUGAUACUUGUCUUUGUCUAACUUAUUUCACUUAGUGAGAUAAUCUCCAGUUCCAUCCAUGUUGCUGUAAAUGGCCUUAUUUCCUUCUUUGUUAUGACUGAGUAAUAUUCUGUUAUAUCUAAAUACCACAUCUUUAUCCAGUCAUCUGUCAGUGAAUGUUUAGGUUGCUUCUAUGUCUUGGCCAUUGUAAACAGUGCUCCUGUGGAAAUUGGGGUGCAGGUAUCUUUUGGAAUGAAGGUUCCCUCUGGAUAUAUGCCCAGGACUGGGAUUGCUGGAUUAGGUGAUAAGCCUUUUUUUUUUUUUUUUUUUUUUUGUCUUUUGAGGAAUCUCCAUACUGUUUUCCACAGUGGCUGCACCAAACUACAUUCCCACCAACAAUGUAGGAGGGUUUCAUUUUCUCCACAGCCUCUCCGGCAUUUAUGGUUUGUGGACUUUUGAAUGAUGGCCAUUCUGACUGGUGUGAGAUGAUAACAUUGUAGCUUUGAGCUGCAUUUCUCUGAUAAUUGAACGAUAUUAAGCAUUUUUUAUAUGCCUAUUGGCCAUCUGUGUGUCUUCAUUGGAGAAUUGCUUGUUUAGUUGUUCUGCCCAUUUUUGGAUUUGGUUGUUUAUUUUUUUCUUAUUAAGUUGUAUGGACUAUUUAUAUAGUCUAGAAAUUAAGCCAUGGUCAGUCUCAUCUUUUGCAAAUAUUUUCUCCCAUUCCAUAGGUUGUCUUUUAGUUUUACUUAUGGUUUCUAUUGCUGUGCAAAAGUUUAUAAGUUUAAUUAGGUCUCAUUUAUUUAUUUUGGCUUUUAUUUCUGUUGCUUGGGUUGCUUAGAUUGCCCUACGAAAACAUUGCUGAGAUGUAUGUCAAAUAAUGUUUUGCCUAUGUUUUCUUGUGAGAAGUUUAUAGUGUCGCGUGUAAUAUUUAAGUCUUUAAGCCAUUUUGAGUUUGUUUCUUUUUGGUUUUUUUGCGACUCUAUUGUAUGCUUUUGAUUUGUGGUUACCUUAUUCUUCAAAUAUAUCAGCCCAUUACUAUAUCUAUUUCCUUUAGACUGAUAAUCACGUAGGCUCCAACACAUCCUAAGAAUAACGAAGAAAAAAAAGAAAGAAAAAAAUCUACAUUUUCUUGCUCCCCUCUCCCAUUCCCAACUUUUUUUAUUUUGAUGUCCUUUUUCAUUUUUACAUCUUUAUGUUUAUUCUCUUGCAACUCGUUAUUGCAUUUCCAACUAUGGUUUUCCUGUUUCUAUAGCAUCCUGCUUCCUUUCUGUUUAGAAUAGAACCUUUUAAUGUCUCUGUUAGGUUCAAUAUUGCUGAGUUAUCUCACUUCCCCUCCCCCCUUCCCCCCAGGCCUCUGAAUCCUCAGUCCAGGGAAGCUAAACCAUUCUAGCCUUCAUCGGUUCUGGGAAAGCAAUAUUCAGAGUGGGAAAAGACAUUGAAAAAUAAUAUUCUGUGAGUUGCAUUCUACCCUUGCCCAGAGAUGAGAAACAUCUGAAGGUGGAGGAAAACAGUUGGAGGUGGGGAACACAAAGUCUUUUCUCCUUUUGCUACUGAAGAAAUGAUUGCUUUUGUAAUUAGUGGUGAUGCCCUUUAAAUUGGUGAGAUCGAGAUUCCACAGCUUCAGCGCCUGUGAAUAACCAGCUGGGAGAAAGCUCUCUAGGGCCCCUGCAGUGGGAAAGGCAGCCCCUCUGAGCACCUGUUGUUCUGUAUUCUUCCUGCCUCCACACGGGUUCCCUAGGCACCGUGCAGGACGAUGCAGUUACCCAAGGUGGAGGACGGGGAGACCCCUGCUGUGUGGCGAGCCACAGAAGCCCACACUUGAAGGACAAAAUGUAGAGUAGUGGGGCGGUCAUAGGAACAGGGGAUGGUUGAGAAGCAGGAUGGUGUCCUGGAGUCCAGCAGCCAAGGCUGGUGGGGCAGAUUGGGCCCUGGGGCAUGGGCAGUCCUUGAGGGAUCUGAAGCAAAGAUAGGAACCAAGAGACUGGAUUCGUGUGGGGGUACGGCACCCCUUGGAGGCUGCGGGGCAGCUCAGUGGGCCCAGGGGGAGCAGGCACUUCCCCAAAGCUGGGUUGACAGGUCACAACCAACUCACUGGGGACCGAGAGGCACUGAGUCAUUUUUAACUUUUUGUCCCUCUUCCUGGAAAAGAAACUGCUGCCUGUUAAAUAGCCUGUGUCGUUAGUGAGAAUUAAAGACAUGAAGCAAGAUUGCCUCAAAAGUCAUCCAUUGUUUAGUUGUUAAUAAGGGUCAAAUGAAAACUUGAAUAGAUGAAAUGAAGCAUUCAUCAGAGGAUUUGAAACUCCUUUAAAAUAAAAAUUCUUGCUGCCUUUGUUCUUCAUUUCAGGGUUCACUUGGUGAUAAUAAUCAUAACCAAAGCAACAGCAAACCCUUACAGAACUCUGUCCUGCUGUUCCAGGAACGCUGUGUUCAUGACAACCCAAUGAGUUGGCACCACUGUGAGUUCCACUUUAAAGUGCCUGCCACCCUGGCCUCCCUGCUCAUCUGCCUCAGUCAGGAGCACCUGGACCACCAGCUCUGUAUUGCCUCGCCUCCUACCAUCAAGACGUCAAAGUUCAUUCUCCUUCCACCACCCAGUAUGGUCAUUGUAGGGUCUUCUUCUCUGUCAGCCUGAGCCAGCCACCCCCCAUUCACCCUACCCCCGGGCUCAUACCCGGGCAUGUCUCCACCCCAGGUCCAGCCUCUCUCCUUUAAGUGCCCACCUCUAGCCGUCCAGCUUCUUCUCCACCAGCCUCCCUGGCCCUCCUUCACCCUCACUGGGGCAUCAUGUGCUGACUCCUCUGCUUUCCUGCCUGUCCACGUUCCCCUUACUUCCACUUCCCCACCUUCCAGCUCUGCAUCCACAGUCAGCACUCUCUUUAUGACAGACAAAACCCCCUUGAGCCUUGACCUUUUCAGUUCCUCACCAGGCCGACUUCCAUCUCGGUUCACCCAGCUCUACUUGUUCUGAGCCUGCAGGCAGCAGGCUCUCCCAGCACAGAUUUCCAAGACUACAAAUCAAUGCCCACCAUGUUGCCGCUGCCAGGCAAUCCUCCAGGAUUUCUCUAGUGAGCACAUUUCCCCACUUAUCACUCAGUGGUGUCAACAUUCUCUGCUCUCUGCACACCUCUAACCUUCCCUCUGUCUCUUCCCUGACUCCCAGCAGAUGGCCUUGCCUCCUGCUUCAGAGAGAAUGACAUGUCACUGGAAAGGAGCUCGCUCACCUGCAGCUAACCUGCUCACCUCACCUUUUAUCUGUCCCUCUCCCACCUGGACUCUAGCUGUAGUUGUUCUUAAUUCAGAGUUUAGUUGACAUAUAUAUACACAGUUAAAAGCAUAGCACACUAUCGGCUACCUUCUAGGGGUUACUUUUUCAAUUUAACAUGGAGUGUGUGUUUCAUCCACUUCAUUGUAUGUACCUGCAGUUCAUUUGUUUUAACUGAUCUUAAAUGUUGUGUGUGUGAAAGUAACACAAGGCAAGGGUAAGCCAGGAUUCAGGAUGCUGGUUACUUCCUGUGAGAAGAGGCCAAGAGCAGGAUAGGGAAAGAGGACACAGUAUGUCACUGUCAAUAUUCCUGUUAUGAUGCUGGGUGAUAGGUUCAUAACUGUGUCUUAUAAUAUUAAUUUUAAUACAUAAAUACCUCUGACAGGCACCUAAGAUGAGAAUGUGUCAUGAACCAAGACAUACAAUGGGUAAUAUUACAUCAUUAUUGUUAUGUAAUCUUGUUAUAUUAUAUAUUAAUCAUAAUCUUACAUUAUUUGUUAUGGGUUAUAUAUUAUAUAGAUGCAUGAAUUAUAUAUUAUGUGUAUAAACACCUACAUAUGUAUUAUAUACUAUCUGCUAAUAAAUAAACAGAAGAUAAUAUGCUAGUAUAUCUUCUAUUAUGUAUUAUUUAAUAAAUAAUAACAUACUCUAUCCUGUUAUAUGACAUGGAACAUAAUCUUUAAUAAAAUAAGAAAUCUGUCAAUAUA